AGAGUUUGAUCCUAGCUCAGGAUGAAUGCUGGCGGCGUGGAUAAGGCAUGCAAGUCAAGGGGGCCGCAAGGCAACCGGCAGACGAGGUAGUAAUACGCAGGUACGUACCGAAAAGUCGGGCAUAGCUCGUCGAAAGACGGGGUAAUUUCCGAUAGUCCCCCGACGCAAGUCGAUGGGUAAAGCAGCAAUGCGCUUUUUGAACGGCCUGCGGAGCAUCAGCUAGUUGGUGAGGUAAUGGCUCACCAAGGCUAUGACGCUUAGGGGACCUGAGAGGGUGACCCCCACCGAUGGGACUGAGAUACGGCCCAUACACCUACGGGUGGCUGCAGUCGAGAAUCUUCCGCAAUGGGCGAAAGCCUGACGGAGCGACGCCGCGUGAUGGAUGAAGUCCUUCGGGACGUAAACAUCUUUUAUGUGUGAAAAAGUUAUUGAUAUCAGCGCAUGAAUAAGGGGCUCCUAACUCUGUGCCAGCAGGAGCGGUAAUACAGAGGCCCCAAGCAUUAUCCGGAAUCACUGGGCGUAAAGGGUGUGUAGGCGGCAGUAUUAGUCUUUCGUGAAAGGUCUUGGGCUUAACCCAGGAACCGCGGGGGAAACGGUACUGCUUUCGAGGACGCGAGAGGUAGAGGGAACUCAUGGUGUAGGGGUGAAAUCCGUUGAUAUCAUGGGGAACACCAAAUGCGAAGGCACUCUACUGGCGCGCUCCUGACGCUGAAACACGAAAGCGUGGGAAUCGAACGGGAUUAGAUACCCCGGUAGUCCACGCCCUAAACGAUCCUUACUGGCUUUACGGAGUAUCGACCCUCUGUGUGGCGAAGCUAACGCGUUAAGUAAGGCGCCUGGGUAGUACGAUCGCAAGAUUAAAACUCAAAGGAAUAGACGGGGACUUGCACAAGCGGUGGAUCAUGCGGCUCAAUUCGAUGACAAACGAAGAACCUCACCACGGUUAGAAAUCCAGACGACAUCCUAAGAAACUAGGCUUUCGCAAGACGGCUGGACAGGUGAUGCAUGGUCGUCGUCAGUUCGUGGCUUGAGUUGUUCCCUUCAGUGGGGUAACGAACGCAACCCUCGUUGCCUGUUUUAUAUGUCAGGCGAGACUGCCCCCUCACGGGGGAGGAAGGUGAGGAUGACGCCAGAUCAGCAUGUCCCUCUGAUACCGUGGGCUGCACGCAUGAUACAAUGCACUCGACAACGAGACGCAAUGCCGCAAGGCGGAGCAAAUCUUUAUAAACGAGUGCCCAGUUCGGAUUGAGGUCUGCAACUCGACCUCAUGAAGCCGGAAUCGCUAGUAAUCGCAGGUCAGCUAUACUGCGGUGAAUACGUUCUCAAGUCUUGUACUCACCGCCCGUCAACUCAAGGGAGCCGGGAGCACCCGAAGACCAUCUUUGAUGGUUCACGGUAAGCUCGGUGACAGGGAGUAAGUCGUAACAAGGCA
rnacentral:rRNA from 1 species